rnacentral:rRNA from 1 species
UUAAGCGACUAAGCGUACACGGUGGAUGCCCUGGCAGUCAGAGGCGAUGAAGGACGUGCUAAUCUGCGAUAAGCGUCGGUGAGGUGAUAUGAACCGUUAUAACCGGCGAUUUCCGAAUGGGGAAACCCAGUGUGUUUCGACACACUAUCAUUAACUGAAUCCAUAGGUUAAUGAGGCGAACCGGGGGAACUGAAACAUCUAAGUACCCCGAGGAAAAGAAAUCAACCGAGAUUCCCCCAGUAGCGGCGAGCGAACGGGGAGGAGCCCAGAGCCUGAAUCAGUGUGUGUGUUAGUGGAAGCGUCUGGAAAGGCGCGCGAUACAGGGUGACAGCCCCGUACACAAAAAUGCACAUACUGUGAGCUCGAUGAGUAGGGCGGGACACGUGGUAUCCUGUCUGAAUAUGGGGGGACCAUCCUCCAAGGCUAAAUACUCCUGACUGACCGAUAGUGAACCAGUACCGUGAGGGAAAGGCGAAAAGAACCCCGGCGAGGGGAGUGAAAAAGAACCUGAAACCGUGUACGUACAAGCAGUGGGAGCCUCUUAAUGGGGUGACUGCGUACCUUUUGUAUAAUGGGUCAGCGACUUAUAUUCUGUAGCAAGGUUAACCGAAUAGGGGAGCCGAAGGGAAACCGAGUCUUAACUGGGCGUUAAGUUGCAGGGUAUAGACCCGAAACCCGGUGAUCUAGCCAUGGGCAGGUUGAAGGUUGGGUAACACUAACUGGAGGACCGAACCGACUAAUGUUGAAAAAUUAGCGGAUGACUUGUGGCUGGGGGUGAAAGGCCAAUCAAACCGGGAGAUAGCUGGUUCUCCCCGAAAGCUAUUUAGGUAGCGCCUCGUGAAUUCAUCUCCGGGGGUAGAGCACUGUUUCGGCAAGGGGGUCAUCCCGACUUACCAACCCGAUGCAAACUGCGAAUACCGGAGAAUGUUAUCACGGGAGACACACGGCGGGUGCUAACGUCCGUCGUGAAGAGGGAAACAACCCAGACCGCCAGCUAAGGUCCCAAAGUCAUGGUUAAGUGGGAAACGAUGUGGGAAGGCCCAGACAGCCAGGAUGUUGGCUUAGAAGCAGCCAUCAUUUAAAGAAAGCGUAAUAGCUCACUGGUCGAGUCGGCCUGCGCGGAAGAUGUAACGGGGCUAAACCAUGCACCGAAGCUGCGGCAGCGACACUAUGUGUUGUUGGGUAGGGGAGCGUUCUGUAAGCCUGUGAAGGUGUACUGUGAGGUAUGCUGGAGGUAUCAGAAGUGCGAAUGCUGACAUAAGUAACGAUAAAGCGGGUGAAAAGCCCGCUCGCCGGAAGACCAAGGGUUCCUGUCCAACGUUAAUCGGGGCAGGGUGAGUCGACCCCUAAGGCGAGGCCGAAAGGCGUAGUCGAUGGGAAACAGGUUAAUAUUCCUGUACUUGGUGUUACUGCGAAGGGGGGACGGAGAAGGCUAUGUUGGCCGGGCGACGGUUGUCCCGGUUUAAGCGUGUAGGCUGGUUUUCCAGGCAAAUCCGGAAAAUCAAGGCUGAGGCGUGAUGACGAGGCACUACGGUGCUGAAGCGACAAAUGCCCUGCUUCCAGGAAAAGCCUCUAAGCAUCAGGUAACAUCAAAUCGUACCCCAAACCGACACAGGUGGUCAGGUAGAGAAUACCAAGGCGCUUGAGAGAACUCGGGUGAAGGAACUAGGCAAAAUGGUGCCGUAACUUCGGGAGAAGGCACGCUGAUAUGUAGGUGAAGCGACUUGCUCGUGGAGCUGAAAUCAGUCGAAGAUACCAGCUGGCUGCAACUGUUUAUUAAAAACACAGCACUGUGCAAACACGAAAGUGGACGUAUACGGUGUGACGCCUGCCCGGUGCCGGAAGGUUAAUUGAUGGGGUUAGCGGUAACGCGAAGCUCUUGAUCGAAGCCCCGGUAAACGGCGGCCGUAACUAUAACGGUCCUAAGGUAGCGAAAUUCCUUGUCGGGUAAGUUCCGACCUGCACGAAUGGCGUAAUGAUGGCCAGGCUGUCUCCACCCGAGACUCAGUGAAAUUGAACUCGCUGUGAAGAUGCAGUGUACCCGCGGCAAGACGGAAAGACCCCGUGAACCUUUACUAUAGCUUGACACUGAACAUUGAGCCUUGAUGUGUAGGAUAGGUGGGAGGCUUUGAAGUGUGGACGCCAGUCUGCAUGGAGCCGACCUUGAAAUACCACCCUUUAAUGUUUGAUGUUCUAACGUGGGCCCCUUACCGGGGUUGCGGACAGUGUCUGGUGGGUAGUUUGACUGGGGCGGUCUCCUCCUAAAGAGUAACGGAGGAGCACGAAGGUUGGCUAAUCCUGGUCGGACAUCAGGAGGUUAGUGCAAUGGCAUAAGCCAGCUUGACUGCGAGCGUGACGGCGCGAGCAGGUGCGAAAGCAGGUCAUAGUGAUCCGGUGGUUCUGAAUGGAAGGGCCAUCGCUCAACGGAUAAAAGGUACUCCGGGGAUAACAGGCUGAUACCGCCCAAGAGUUCAUAUCGACGGCGGUGUUUGGCACCUCGAUGUCGGCUCAUCACAUCCUGGGGCUGAAGUAGGUCCCAAGGGUAUGGCUGUUCGCCAUUUAAAGUGGUACGCGAGCUGGGUUUAGAACGUCGUGAGACAGUUCGGUCCCUAUCUGCCGUGGGCGCUGGAGAACUGAGGGGGGCUGCUCCUAGUACGAGAGGACCGGAGUGGACGCAUCACUGGUGUUCGGGUUGUCAUGCCAAUGGCACUGCCCGGUAGCUAAAUGCGGAAGAGAUAAGUGCUGAAAGCAUCUAAGCACGAAACUUGCCCCGAGAUGAGUUCUCCCUGACUCCUUGAGAGUCCUGAAGGAACGUUGAAGACGACGACGUUGAUAGGCCGGGUGUGUAAGCGCAGCGAUGCGUUGAGCUAACCGGUACUAAUGAACCGUGAGGCUUAACCU